GACGAACGCUGGCGGCGCGCCUAACACAUGCAAGUCGAACGAGCGAGAGAGAGCUUGCUUUCUUGAGCGAGUGGCGAACGGGUGAGUAACGCGUGAGGAACCUGCCUCAAAGAGGGGGACAACAGUUGGAAACGACUGCUAAUACCGCAUAAGCCCACGGUGCCGCAUGGCACAGAGGGAAAAGGAGCAAUCCGCUUUGAGAUGGCCCCGCGUCCGAUUAGCUAGUUGGUGAGGUAACGGCCCACCAAGGCGACGAUCGGUAGCCGGACUGAGAGGUUGAACGGCCACAUUGGGACUGAGACACGGCCCAGACUCCUACGGGAGGCAGCAGUGGGGAAUAUUGCACAAUGGGGGAAACCCUGAUGCAGCGACGCCGCGUGGAGGAAGAAGGUCUUCGGAUUGUAAACUCCUGUUGUUGGGGAAGAUAAUGACGGUACCCAACAAGGAAGUGACGGCUAACUACGUG
rnacentral:rRNA from 1 species